GCCUACGGGAGGCAGCAGUGGGGAAUAUUGCACAAUGGGCGAAAGCCUGAUGCAGCAACGCCGCGUGCGCGAUGAAGGCCUUCGGGUCGUAAAGCGCUUUUCUGAGAGAUGAGAAAGGACAGUAUCUCAGGAAUAAGUCUCGGCUAACUACGUGCCAGCAGCCGCGGUAAAACGUAGGAGGCAAGCGUUAUCCGGAUUCACUGGGCGUAAAGCGCGUGCAGGCGGUUCGGUAAGUUGGGCGUGAAAUCUCCUGGCUCAACUAGGAGAGGUCGUCCAAUACUACCGGGCUAGAGAGCGGUAGAGGAAGAUGGAAUUCCCGGUGUAGUGGUGAAAUGCGUAGAUAUCGGGAGGAACACCAGUGGCGAAGGCGAUCUUCUGGACCGUUUCUGACGCUCAGACGCGACAGCUAGGGUAGCAAACGGGAUUAGAUACCCGUGUAGUCCG
rnacentral:rRNA from 1 species